rnacentral:rRNA from 1 species
AUGAACGCUAGCUACAGGCUUAACACAUGCAAGUCGAGGGGCAGCAUGGUCUUAGCUUGCUAAGGCCGAUGGCGACCGGCGCACGGGUGAGUAACACGUAUCCAACCUGCCGUCUACUCUUGGACAGCCUUCUGAAAGGAAGAUUAAUACAAGAUGGCAUCAUGAGUCCACAUGUUCACAUGAUUAAAGGUAUUCCGGUAGACGAUGGGGAUGCGUUCCAUUAGAUAGUAGGCGGGGUAACGGCCCACCUAGUCUUCGAUGGAUAGGGGUUCUGAGAGGAAGGUCCCCCACAUUGGAACUGAGACACGGUCCAAACUCCUACGGGAGGCAGCAGUGAGGAAUAUUGGUCAAUGGGCGAGAGCCUGAACCAGCCAAGUAGCGUGAAGGAUGACUGCCCUAUGGGUUGUAAACUUCUUUUAUAAAGGAAUAAAGUCGGGUAUGGAUACCCGUUUGCAUGUACUUUAUGAAUAAGGAUCGGCUAACUCCGUGCCAGCAGCCGCGGUAAUACGGAGGAUCCGAGCGUUAUCCGGAUUUAUUGGGUUUAAAGGGAGCGUAGAUGGAUGUUUAAGUCAGUUGUGAAAGUUUGCGGCUCAACCGUAAAAUUGCAGUUGAUACUGGAUAUCUUGAGUGCAGUUGAGGCAGGCGGAAUUCGUGGUGUAGCGGUGAAAUGCUUAGAUAUCACGAAGAACUCCGAUUGCGAAGGCAGCCUGCUAAGCUGCAACUGACAUUGAGGCUCGAAAGUGUGGGUAUCAAACAGGAUUAGAUACCCUGGUAGUCCACACGGUAAACGAUGAAUACUCGCUGUUUGCGAUAUACAGCAAGCGGCCAAGCGAAAGCGUUAAGUAUUCCACCUGGGGAGUACGCCGGCAACGGUGAAACUCAAAGGAAUUGACGGGGGCCCGCACAAGCGGAGGAACAUGUGGUUUAAUUCGAUGAUACGCGAGGAACCUUACCCGGGCUUAAAUUGCAGAUGAAUUACGGUGAAAGCCGUAAGCCGCAAGGCAUCUGUGAAGGUGCUGCAUGGUUGUCGUCAGCUCGUGUCGUGAGAUGUUGGGUUAAGUCCCGCAACGAGCGCAACCCCUAUCUUCAGUAGCCAGCAGGUUAAGCUGGGCACUCUGGAGAGACUGCCAGGGAUAACCUGGAGGAAGGUGGGGAUGACGUCAAAUCAGCACGGCCCUUACGUCCGGGGCUACACACGUGUUACAAUGGGGGGUACAGAGGGCCGCUACCACGCGAGUGGAUGCCAAUCCCAAAAACCUCUCUCAGUUCGGACUGGAGUCUGCAACCCGACUCCACGAAGCUGGAUUCGCUAGUAAUCGCGCAUCAGCCACGGCGCGGUGAAUACGUUCCCGGGCCUUGUACACACCGCCCGUCAAGCCAUGGGAGCCGGGGGUACCUGAAGUGCGUAACCGCGAGGAGCGCCCUAGGGUAAAACUGGUGACUGGGGCU